AGUGAACGCUGGCGGUAGGCCUAACACAUGCAAGUCGAACGGCAGCACAGUAAGAGCUUGCUCUUACGGGUGGCGAGUGGCGGACGGGUGAGGAAUACAUCGGAAUCUACUUUUUCGUGGGGGAUAACGUAGGGAAACUUACGCUAAUACCGCAUACGACCUACGGGUGAAAGCAGGGGAUCUUCUGACCUUGCGCGAUUGAAUGAGCCGAUGUCGGAUUAGCUAGUUGGCGGGGUAAAGGCCCACCAAGGCGACGAUCCGUAGCUGGUCUGAGAGGAUGAUCAGCCACACUGGAACUGAGAAACGGUCAAGACUCCUACGGGAGGCAGCAGUGGGGAAUAUUGGACAAUGGGCGCAAGCCUGAUCCAGCAAUACCGCGUGGGUGAAGAAGGCGUUCGGGUUGUAAAGCCCUUUUGUUGGGAAAGAAAAGCAGCAGGUUAAUACCCCGCUGUUCUGACGGUAACCAAAGAAUAAGCACCGGCUAACUUCGUG
rnacentral:rRNA from 1 species